AUUUAUACACAUUUUUAAUAAUUCACAUUUAAAAAUUAAGUGGAGUUAAUCUGAAUUAAAUAUAUUUAUGCAUUUUAAAUCUGGAAUGUAUGUGUAUUAAAAUGCUUAUCUUCAAUACUAAAGGAUAUAAAUGUUAUAUAGCAAUUUAGAAAUAAUGCAUUGAAGAAUAAAUAUAGAAUUUUCUCAGUAUCUAGACCAGUGAUGGUGAACUUAUGACUCGGGGGUCAGACGUUGACCCACAGACUUCUGAACUGACCUACGCAUUGAUUUUGUUAAACUUAAUUUUCAGAUGGAAUAAGAUUUUCUUUCUCCCUGUUUUGCCUCUCAUUUUUUUCCUCACUAAAAGUACUAUAAUUUUAUUACAAACUCGCAUCCUGUUUUUUUUUGCUUCUCAGUUCUCAAAGUUGAUCCGCCUC
rnacentral:lncRNA from 1 species